rnacentral:ncRNA from 1 species
GGUAGUAGCAAAAAUUCAAAGGAGGACUUGGAAGGCCGAAGUGGAGAAGGGUUCCAUGUGAACAGCAGUUGAACUUGGGUCAGUCGGUCCUGAGAGAUGGGCGAACGUCGUUCCGAAGGGUCGGGCAAUGGCCUCCGUUGCCCUCAGCCGAUCAAAAGGGAGUCGGGUUCAGAUCCCCGAGUCUGGAGUGGUGGAGACGGGCGCCGCGAGGCGUCCAGAGCGGUAACGCAACCAUCCCAGAGAAGCUGGUGGGCGCCCCAGGGAGAGUUCUCUUUUCUUUGUGAAGGGCAGGGCGCCGUGGAAUUGGUUCGCCCGGAGAGAGGGUCCCGUGCCUUGGAAAGCGUCGCGGUUCUGGUGUCGUCCGGUGAGCUCUCGCUGACCCUGGAAAAUCCGGGGGAGAGGGUGUAAAUAUGGGCUGUACCCAUAUCCCCAGCAGGUCUCCAAGGUGAACAGCCUCUGGCA